rnacentral:tRNA from 1 species
GCCGUUGUAGCUCAGUUGGUAGAGCGCGUCCAUGGUAAGGACGAGGUCACCGGUUCAAAUCCGGUCAGCGGCUCCA